rnacentral:snRNA from 1 species
AGCUUUGUGUAGAAGACAGUAUUGUAGCCAGUGAGGUUUAUCUGAGGCAUGAUUAUUGCUAAUUGCAUUACUCUCGAACUGUGUCUAUUAUUUUGUUUAUUCUUCAAUG